UUCUUAUCUAGAGAAACGGAGGGAUUGGCCCUAUGAAGUUUCAGCAACCAGUAUGUUUCAUUUGCAUACAUGGUGCUAAGUCCAACAGGUAUAUUUACCUGAAAGAUAAGGC
rnacentral:ncRNA from 2 species